UUAUAAAAUUUAAAAACACAGCUCGCCUCAGCCAGGGCAGAUAGUUAGUUGGUAAGAUAGUUGUUAGUUGAUUAGUUGGAUCAGGUGUGUUGUAAUUAGAAUAAACCAGUGACCGCAAUUUACGCCUGAAACAGCGACAGAGCCUGGAUUGUUUCUGUUCUCUCUGCAGUUUGUGGAUUAUUAACAUGUUCACAUAUUAAUUUAAUGUAACUCUCACUUUGCUGAACACAGCGGAGGCACCAAAAUGUGCUGCGUGCAGUUUUUUUUUUCGAUCCUCCGGUCCGGAGGUACAGACCUUACCGCAAACGGAGAUUCUGGACCAAACCCGGAAGAACAAGCACCAGGUUCUUCUGUUACCUGUCCGACCAGACUGAUGGAAGUCUCCGGAUGCCAGGUUUUCCAGUCACCCACAACAGAUCAGCUGCUCACCAUCCACUUUAUGCCAACAGCCUCUGACUAGUUGCUCACUCUCCACUACAGAUUACAUAGAAGUUUACAUGAACUCCAGCCAAGAAAAACUUUAUUAUAAGACGCAGCAGAGCCGCCGGGGAAAGUAAAAACCCCGGGGUUGAUUACUGGGUCCCCGGCCUGGACUGGCCGCCGCUGUAUUAGAGCGCGGUUAACCCGGGCUGGUUAACGCUGGUGAUCCACUCACCGUUCCCGC